UCAAACUUGAUUUGAAUUCAAAAAAGAUUUUAUUCUAUUUUAUUUAUUAUUUUCAUAUCUUUCUUUGAUCAUAAUUUAUGAAUUGCUCGGUAUAUUCAUUCAUCUUGUGAAAAACAUGCAAAAUAUAUUUAACGUAUCAUACGUAUUUGCAUAAAAAUCCUAUCAAUCUAAUGAUAAAAAAUAAGCAAGAGGAUAUUUUAAAUGCGAGUAUGCAAUUUCAAAUUUCCGAUCACGAGUCCAAAGAUCAAAUUUCAAGGGAAAAUUUUUUUCAUUUGUUCGUCCAUCGUCGAACAUCUGUCUUCAGGGCAUCCUCAUUCUCGGCUUAGGAAAAGCGUAUCGAAUCAGAAACAGAUUGCAUCGAGAAUAAAGUUUCCAUUCUUCGCCUGGAGAAAGAUCUGAUAAUCGGUAUUAACACGGAUCGGAUCGUAUCUGUCUUGAUACAUUCAACGGAUACAAAGUUGGUGCAGAUGCGAUAGUUAUUAUGGAAAUCAGAAUAUCAUUCGUAAUUGAGGAAGUGACUCAUUUUCUUGAACGAUCGAAGAAAUUGAUCUGUGAUUAGUAUUGCACACCAAUCGAACAAGAAUUCGGCAAGUUCUCGCUUAUUUCCCUCUUUGAGCAAUCCCAUCGAAGGAUUGCAGAAACGGUUGCAGAACACGAUAAAUCGAAAAAGAAGGGAUUGCAUUCGUCCCUAGACGGGAGCGCGAAGAUGAAAACGAUACGAGGCUCUGAGCGGUUAGUCGAGGCGAGAGUUCGAGUUCUUCUUCCUGUGUUUUGCGGCGAGAAAACGUGCAUCUUGCUGGCCACGAUCUGCCCUUCGGGCUAUCACGAGUCCGCGUUUUUCCAGACCUUUGUCGUUGCCACGUAUAUAUGAGAAGAAUCGUAUUAAAUUUAACGCAUGCUCCGUUUUGACGAAACUACCGACCAAUCUGCUUCCAAUCGUCUUGCGCAUUGCGCGAGCGUUAACCCUUUUACGAAGAAGCGAUCUUGGAUGAAAAAAGAAAUCGAUUCGCA